AUCAUUACCGAGUACUAUAACUCAUAACCCUUUGUGAACCUUUAUACCUGUUGCUUCGGCGGCGCGCCUCCCGGGGCGUGCCCGCCGGUAUCAUCAGAAUCUCUGUUCGAACCCGACGAUAUUUCUGAGUGUUCUAAGCGAACUGUUAAAACUUUCAACAACGGAUCUCUUGGCUCCAGCAUCGAUGAAGAACGCAGCGAAACGCGAUAUGUAAUGUGAAUUGCAGAAUUCAGUGAAUCAUCGAAUCUUUGAACGCACAUGGCGCCUUCCAGUAUCCUGGGAGGCAUGCCUGUCCGAGCGUCGUUUCAACCCUCGAGCCCCCGUGGCCCGGCGUUGGGGAUCUGCCCAGGCAGUCCCCGAAAACCAGUGGCGGACCCGUUACAGGCCCUUCCCUUGCGUAGUAGCAUUCGCCUCGCAUCGGGAGCCGGCGGGCUUCCAGCCUCUAAACCCCCAUCAAGUCCGCCCCGGCGGCACCAAGGUUGACCUCGGAUCAGGUAGGAAUACCCGCUGAACUUAAGCAUAUCAU
rnacentral:rRNA from 1 species